GACGAACCGUGCGAACGUUAUUCGGAUUCACUGGGCUUAAAGGGCGCGUAGGCGGGCUCGCCAGUCAGGGGUGAAAUUCCACGGCUCAACCGUGGCAGUGCCUUUGAUACUGCGAGUCUCGAGGGAGGUAGGGGCGUGCGGAACUUCCGGUGGAGCGGUGAAAUGCGUAGAUAUCGGAAGGAACACCGGUGGCGAAAGCGGCGCGCUGGACCUCUUCUGACGCUGAGGCGCGAAAGCGUGGGGAGCGAACAGG
rnacentral:rRNA from 1 species